rnacentral:ncRNA from 1 species
UAAAUGUUGUAGGGGGACCGGUGUUGCCGGUUGAGACUGCAUCCGUUAAGAUGCUGACCCUUGGAACCUGAUCUGGCUGAAACCAGCGUAGGGAACACUGAAUUGUUUAUG